ACGCUCGACACCUACGGGACAGCAGUGGGGAAUAUUGCACAAUGGGGGAAACCCUGAUGCAGCGACGCCGCGUGAAGGAAGAAGUAUUUCGGUAUGUAAACUUCUAUCAGCAGGGAAGAAAAUGACGGUACCUGACUAAGAAGCCCCGGCUAACUACGUGCCAACAGCCGCGGUAAUCUGAGCGGGCUGGCAAGGC
rnacentral:rRNA from 1 species